rnacentral:rRNA from 1 species
AGAGUUUGAUCCUGGCUCAGAGCGAACGCUGGCGGCAGGCUUAACACAUGCAAGUCGAGCGCCCGUAGCAAUACGGGAGCGGCAGACGGGAGAGUAACACGUGGGAACGUGCCCUUUGGUCCGGAACAACCCAGGGAAACUUGGGCUAAUACCGGAUACGUCCGUAAGGAGAAAGAUUUAUCGCCAAAGGAUCGGCCCGCGUCUGAUUAGCUAGUUGGUGGGGUAAUGGCCCACCAAGGCUACGAUCAGUAGCUGGUCUGAGAGGAUGAUCAGCCACAUUGGGACUGAGACACGGCCCAAACUCCUACGGGAGGCAGCAGUGGGGAAUAUUGGACAAUGGGCGCAAGCCUGAUCCAGCCAUGCCGCGUGGGUGAUGAAGGCCCUAGGGUUGUAAAGCCCUUUCGGCGGGGAAGAUAAUGACGGUACCCGCAGAAGAAGCCCCGGCUAACUUCGUGCCAGCAGCCGCGGUAAUACGAAGGGGGCUAGCGUUGCUCGGAAUCACUGGGCGUAAAGCGCACGUAGGCGGCUUACUAAGUCAGAGGUGAAAUCCUGGAGCUCAACUCCAGAACUGCCUUUGAUACUGGUGAGCUCGAGUCCGGGAGAGGUGAGUGGAACUGCGAGUGUAGAGGUGAAAUUCGUAGAUAUUCGCAAGAACACCAGUGGCGAAGGCGGCUCACUGGCCCGGUACUGACGCUGAGGUGCGAAAGCGUGGGGAGCAAACAGGAUUAGAUACCCUGGUAGUCCACGCCGUAAACGAUGGAUGCUAGCCGUCGGCGAGCUUGCUCGUCCGUGGCGCAGCUAACGCAUUAAGCAUCCCGCCUGGGGAGUACGGUCGCAAGAUUAAAACUCAAAGGAAUUGACGGGGGCCCGCACAAGCGGUGGAGCAUGUGGUUCAAUUCGAAGCAACGCGAAGAACCUUACCAGCCCUUGACAUGGCAGGACGGUUCCCAGAGAUGGGUUCCUUCUCGCAAGAGACUUGCACACAGGUGCUGCAUGGCUGUCGUCAGCUCGUGUCGGGAGAAGGUGGGUUAAGUC